ACUACUUGGUGCCAUACUUGAUUUCUCAGAUACUGCAAACAGGAAGAUUGCUGGAGCUUUUGUGCAGGAACUUUUACUUAGGCCUCUAGAAUAUGAAGUUGAUGAUGAUGGGAGUAAGAUUGUCAUAGGAGAUGGAGUUAGUCUUGGUGGGGAAAGGGACUGGGCGAGAGCAGUGUCAGAAUUGGCUAGAAAAGUGCAUGCUUCUACAGGUGAAUUUGAAGCAGUCGUCACCAGUGUAGUUGAGGAGCUUGCUCGUCCUUGCAGAGAUAGAACUGCUGAUUACAUGCACUGGAUACAUUGCCUUGCAGUGACUGGACUUCUCUUGGAGAACAUUGAUUCUCUGUGGAGCCUCCAUGGAAAAGCCAUUGAACCUUCUGAGUUACUACAUUCUUUGUUGCUUCCAGGGGUACGUGGGGUUCAGCUUUAAAGUUACAUGCUCGCGUAGUAUACACAAAUGAAUACAUGCUGGUAUUUAUAUCAAAUCAGUUUAUCUGGUCAGAUCAUUACUUUGGCAACUAUACCAUGUUUAGUGCUCUUUUUCUCUAUUUCAUGGAAUGCAGGUGAAACAGAUUCAUGUCGAUGUCCAAAGGGUUGCUACGAGAUGCCUUUGCCUCUACGGACUGUUAGAAAGGAGCCCAAGUGAAGAGCUAGUAAAGCAGUUACGCCUCUCCUUUAUUAAUGGCCCUGCUCCAGUCAGUAUCAUGGCUAGUAAGGCACUAAUUGAUCUUGCCACAUGGCAUGGUCCUCAGGCAGUUGACAAGGCCACUGGGAUGGAUCUGCAACAAUCUGGUGAUGAAAAAAAUGGAUUUAUUUCAGUGGAUUUAUCAAAUUUAAACGAGGAUGCAAACAUUGGAUUACUCGACCUAUUGUACUCUGGACUUGAUAAAAAUGAUUGGGGUGCCAAUGUUGAAGGUGAUGAUCAUGAAAGUGUUCAUGCUGUUCUUGGAGAGGGAUUUGCAAAGUUUCUUCUGCUCAGUGAGAAUUAUCCAACCAUAUCCACUUGGUUACAUCCUUUGAUUUUAUGCAAGCUCAUCAGCUUGUAUUUCUGUGAUGAAACGAAGGACCUUCAAAGGUUAAUUUUUGCAUUCUAAGUAAUACUGCCUUUUUCAUUUCUACUAGAUUUCCAAUUGCUACUUUGUAUAUGCAUGCAGGUUAAAGCAAUGCUUAUCUGUGUUCUUUGAGCAUUAUUCAGCACUCUCACGCAAUCACAAGGCAAGUUAUCCAUGGGGAAGUAUCCGAUACACCUAGGCUCAAUCUGAGUUUGCAGUCUAGUGAAAUUUCUGAUGUGCCAACUAUUUGUGUGAAUAUCUGUCUUUGCAGAAGUGUGUCUCCAGAGCUUUCAUUCCUGUCAUGCGAUCUAUGUGGCCAGGUAUUUAUGGUAAUCCAGGGGGAUCUAGCAUUGUGGUGUCGAAAUUGAGAAAGCGUGCAAUCCAAGCGUCACGUUUCAUGUUGCAAAUGAUGCAAACUCCUUUGUUCUCAAAAGAAUAUGUGGAAGAGCGAUCCAGUGAGAUAAGUUCCGAAAGCCUUUCUAGUUCAGUUCAGUUAUCACAUGACUUUGAUAGCGGGGAGGAGGGCCUUGCAAUUCGUAUUGCUUCCGAAGUAAUGUCCACCAUUUCUUUGUUUCUAGAUAUGCUCUGCAUUUAACUUUUGCAGACCUGACCUGUGUUACUUUGUUUCAGAGGAAAUUAACGUUUUUGCCACUGCUCUUUUUAUUGCUUCACCACCCCUGCUGUUUUGAUACCAUGACUUCUCAUAUUACUCUUAUCUGAAAUUGAAAUCCUUGAACUAACUUUCUUUUGAAUCCAACCUGUUUUGGUUAUGUUGUGCAUUAUGUAGGUGGCAAGCUGCCCGGAUAAGAAGAGCCCCGCUGGAAAAUCAUACCUCUCAGCGCUUUGUAAGAUAGCUUUGUUGAUACAGUUCCGAUCAUCAGAACAAGGGGCAAUCAAGUGCAUGAGGGUGCUGCUGAACAGCAUGAUCAUAUCUUCGUCAACUGACAAGGAAGCUGUUAAAGAACUAAUUCGAAUGGCAGCACACCUUAAAUCUCUUGAUGAUCACCCAGACGAAGAACUGUCCCAGGAGCAAGCUAAUGUUAUUUUUGGUAUGGCAUUUGUUCUUUCUUUUCUUCCAUUCUUGUGUUUCCCUGUCUCAGUCAUUUUGCUUUAUUGCAGAUGUCCAUUGUGGAUUUCUUUGUUAUAUGACAUGGGUAAUUCAAUCUCAAUGAAGUUUUCCCAAUGGCUAAAUUUUCAACUGUUGCUGUGAUAUCAGGGAAGCUAGGUUUGGAUGGUAGCCUUAAAAUGGAUACAUCAGCAGUGCCGCCACCGUCAGUGCUGCGAUCGGCCAGAACUGCUCCACAUAGGAGAAGAGUAAGGCGCGAAGCUUCUCCUGAUCCUGAUGAUGAAGAGAUUUCAUCCGUCCCUGAAGUUUUAACGACUCCUAGCUUGGCCAGCAUGCGCUCUCAGAGGGCAAGCAAGACGGCAGCAAUGAGUAAGAUAACCACCAAAACUACCUGUGAACUGUCGGACGAUGAAGAGGAUGGAGAAUCGAAUGUAACAUCUGAAGGGACUUCAGAUUAAUCUCUGGAUGGGCUUGCAGAAUGAAUCAUCACAAGUUACUGUGACCGUUACUGUAAUGCAUGUACAAACAACUGUCACGUCU
rnacentral:lncRNA from 1 species